rnacentral:hammerhead_ribozyme from 1 species
AUUCAGUUGACAAGUCCGAAAUAGGACGAAACACGUGUACUAGAU